CCCUCGUAGAACCCCGCUUUUGAAGUGUCUAUGUUUUCUUCAUUCAGAAGAACAGAUCAGCAUCUCUCAUGCAGGCCUGGCUCCGUGCCCAUCUCACUUUUGCAAUGAGUUUAGCAACAUCUGCUUUGCCCAUUAAAGUGAUUUUUUCUCUUCCUGGCCCUGAGCCUGUGUGCUUGCUGCAAUUGAUUACCAGCAAUUUCCUUCCCAAACCAGCGGGUUCAGUGAACUCUAAAUUGAAUUGUUGCUCGCUGGUCUCCUUUCCACCAAUGUGUACGGCUUACGUGCAACAUGGUCAAGCCACUUAGUUCCUGAAUCUACAGGCUUAUGGUUCUGGUUAAACACCGGGGAGGACCUGCUUCCGAGGAGAUGCACUCUGCGUGACAUUUAAUACCUGAGUUUUCAGGAGACUGGAGUUAAGAGGAAGAGUUCACCAAAGCUGAUGGACAAGGAGGCCAUUCAUUCAUUCAAGAAACAGUCCACCUAUUGCACAUCUGUGCAUGCCCCAUGCCCUGUUUGUGUUGUGGAGACAGCCGCAGGAGCAGAUGCUCACAAAGAGACAAAGAGGACUGCUCAUGGUGAUCACCUGUGACAGAUGGCUGUAGAGAGAACGGCCCUAGCCCAGACACUGUGAGCCGCUUCGUGUUUGUUACCGUGUCUGCUCUGACCGCAGUCCUGCGCGGUAGGCCCGGCAGGCACGCGGGGUUUCCAUCGCGUGGAUGAUACCGGAACCUCCGGGAGUGGAGAAUUUGCACCAGGUCACAUGAGUGAGCCAGAAAGAGACUCUUCACUAACGCGGUCACUUCUUGGACUAGAGCCAGCAUAUAACAGAGUUUUCAUUGAUGCAUGAGGAAAUGAGAAAACUAAGAGGAAACCAGAGUGAAGAUCAGACCGUGGUGACGAGAUGAUGGGGUCCCCAACCCCCACGUCAGCGUCAGCUUCGCCUCUUCUCCGUGUGGUCUGGGGUUGUGUCUCGCGCUGCUGUGGGCGGGCGUUACUGCCUACAGCCCUGGCGUGACUCCAGGGGAGCAGGACCCUGCGCUCCCAUGACCGGCGGAGACUGAGGCCCCUGACGGAGGCCACCUCCUCCAGGAGUUGACAAGUCCCCUGAGCUUUGCAACCACUGCUUCCCCAAACUGCUUCCUCCUCAGAACCGCUCUGGUGCAACCUUGACGCCACCCUUCCUCUUCCUUCACCUGAGGAGGCAAAGCAGGGUCAGGCGAGAACCUUUGCUUCCCCCUCUUUUCUUUCAUUCGUCAUUAGCAUUCACCCCCCUGAUCCAUUUUCGGUGUUGUAUAUCCCUGAGGCUUUC